AGCCCGAUUGAUUGGACAGGACAUUCAGUUGGUGAAUGAACGAUCGUAAACACUGACAAGCUACGUAUCCGGCUCUUAUAUGAAUCCCCAUAUGCGUAGAUGCUACGAGAAUACGUGCUUUUAGGAAUAUCUAAAUGAAUGCGAUAGAAAAAUCGAUUUCAUUAGCCGUUAAAAGAAUGAUGCCGGACCGUCGUGAAGGAGUAAACGCAAUGCAGAAGAUAUCAUAUUGAUUGGUAAACGCACUUCUCAACACGUUCCCAUCGACGCAUGUUUUUCUGGUCGCAAUAACGGAUAGGUGGGGUUUCCUUAGCGUACUCCGGUUAACACCUACCGAACUCAGUGUGGCCAUACCACGUGGUUUGUGACGUCAUUUUGGCUAGCACGCUAAGUAGAAAUUUGUCAACAUUGGCCCCGCUUAGAAAUUUCAAAUCCACAUACACAUGAUGACGACCGAAGAGCGAUAUAUUUGUGCCAUAUGCGCCAGAGGGUACAAGCACAGGCGCAAUUUGGUUUACCAUGAAAGAACAAACGCUGGGAUGUUACCCAUUAACUGUUGCGGCGUUGGGUUUUCAUCAAGACGACAAUUACAAAGACACAGGUGCAAUGUACACGGUGACGGAAAAAAAUAUCUUUGACUUUAUUGUGGAAAAGAAUUCGCAACGAAUUGCCCACUCGGCCCGGGAACAGCGCACUCGAGAGAUCGAGUGCGAGAUAUGCAAUCACAAGGCCACAACACGGGCUCAUCUCCGAGAACAUCUCAAAACACACAGCGAGGAAAAAACACACGUUUGCCAUGUGUGCAAAGCCGCCUAUAAACAUAUAAGUUCACUGUAUAGGCACUAUGGGCAAAAGCACAAAUGACGUGUAUACAGUGGUUUUACCUGUUUGUGAUUUAUUUGUGAUUUACCCGUGAUUUAUUUGUGAUUUACCCGUGAUUGAAUUGUUGCGAUAAAAGCAUAAUCAUCAGAUCUCAAGCAUAAUUAACAUUUGAACCGUAUCUGUUUAUACCACGAUGUUUACUUGUUGCGUUUUUUUUUACUUUUUUAUGUUUUGUUAAUGCUACUGUUAUAUUAUAGCAGUUGUGAUUAGUAUUGUGAUUAAAAUGUAAUUUUAUAAUUGUGAUUUAUGCUUUAUAAUCAGAUCUCAAGCAUAAUUAUAAUUUGAAUCGUAUCUGUUUAUA